rnacentral:rRNA from 1 species
UAGGGAAUCUUCGGCAAUGGACGAAAGUCUGACCGAGCAACGCUGCGUGAGUGAAGAAGGUUUUCGGAUCGUAAAACUCUGUUGUUAGAGAAGAACAAGGACGUUAGUAACUGAACGUCCCCUGACGGUAUCUAACCAGAAAGCCACGGCUAACUACGUGCCAGCAGCCGCGGUAAUACGUAGGUGGCAAGCGUUGUCCGGAUUUAUUGGGCGUAAAGCGAGCGCAGGCGGUUUCUUAAGUCUGAUGUGAAAGCCCCCGGCUCAACCGGGGAGGGUCAUUGGAAACUGGGAGACUUGAGUGCAGAAGAGGAGAGUGGAAUUCCAUGUGUAGCGGUGAAAUGCGUAGAUAUAUGGAGGAAUACCGGUGGCGAAGGCGGCCCCCUGGACGAAGACUGACGCUCAGGUGCGAAAGCGUGGGGAGCAAACAGG